rnacentral:rRNA from 1 species
AGUGAACGCUGGCGGCAGGCCUAACACAUGCAAGUCGAACGGCAGCACAGUAAGAGCUUGCUCUUACGGGUGGCGAGUGGCGGACGGGUGAGGAAUACAUCGCAAUCUACUUUUUCGUGGGGGAUAACGUAGGGAAACUUACGCUAAUACCGCAUACGACCUACGGGUGAAAGCAGUGGAUCUUCGCACCUUGCGCGUCACAAUUAGCCGAUGUCGGAUUAGCUAGUUGGCUGGGUAAAGGCUCACCAAGGCAACGAUGCGUAGCCGAUCUGAGAGGAUGGUCGGCCACACUGGAACUGGGACACGGUCCAGACUCCUACGGGAGGCAGCAGUAGGGAAUCGGCCGCAAUGGGCGCAAGCUUGACGGAGCAACGCCGCGUGAGUGAAGAAGGUCUUCGGAUCGUAAAACUCUGUUAUUAGGGAAGAACAAAUGUGUAAGUAACUAUGCACGUCUUGACGGUACCUAAUCAGAAAGCCACGGCUAACUACGUG